CCAAAAACAUCGCCUCUUGCAUAAUAUAAGAGGUCCUGUCUGCCCAGUGACUCUGUUCAACGGCCACGGUAUCCUGACCGUGCAAAGGUAGCGUAAUCACUUGUUUUUUAAUUAAAGACCUGUAUGAAAGACCCCACGAGAAUCGCACUGUCUCCUCUCUUCAAUCAGUGAAAUUAAUCCUCUCGUGCAAAAGCGAGCAUCACCUUAUAAGACGAAAAGACCCUGUGGAGCUUAAAACAUCAAACACCUAUUUAAAUUAUCUACUACCCAUACACUCAUAAUAGUAUGAUUGAAAGUUUUUGGUUGGGGUGACCGUGGAGAAAAACCAAACCUCCAAGAUGAAUUAGGACUUUCCUUAAUUUAGAGCCACAACUCUUUACAUUAGUACACUAACAUAAAUUGACCCUUCUUGAUCAACGAAACAAGUUAC
rnacentral:rRNA from 1 species